ACUUUAUAGUAUAAGGCAGUUUACAAAGGUCUUGCACACAUUACUUCAUACAAUUCUUGCAACAAUCAUGAGAGUUAAACAGAGCAAUUAAUGGUGUCCAUAUUUUGUCCAUUUUCAUAUUAUGAAAAAACUGAGGUUCACAGAAGUUGAGAGACUUGUCCAAAGUCAUUGAAAAGCUAAGUGACAAAUUGGGAAUAGUACCUAGUCCAGCGUGCUCUCUCCCCUACAUCAAAAUGAUCAACCAUCUCUCUGACAAUUAUAAUUUGGCUGUGAUUCAUGGUGAAGGAGGUAGGAGGGUACAGUGCCUCACUGCCAGAGCCAUCGAGUUAGCCUCGCUGCUUCUGCUCUGCCAGGACCAUUCCCACCUUUUCCUGGAGAAGGCUGCAUUUCCCAGAGCGCCACUCAAUCUCCAGUGCCGAGGUAUACCUGCGUUUCAGUGUUUCGCUUGUUUUUAUUUUGUUAAACAUUGCUCUCUAGAAUUCUAUAGACCUAUCUGAACUUAUCUGUCCUAUAAUUUUGGCUACAGUUGACUGGUUAAUUAUUUAGCAAAGCCACUGUUCUUUACCUAUGGGUAUCACCAAGAACUCUGACAGCUAAGUACAUCUUAACUUCUGUCAGACUUUUGCAGUAUUUCAUUCCUUCUAAGCAAAACAGUCACUCUCAUUUGUUAUGCCAAACAUCUACCUCUACGUUUUAAAAAUAAGUAUUUUUCCAAUAAUCCAAAUAUUUACUUUCUGAACACUGAUUUCAGUUUUUAAGAUGUCAAUUAAUCUUAGUUCAUUUAUCCCAAUCUUACCAGGAAGAAAUAUCAUUCAGUAAAAGUUUUUUAAAAAUAGACACUUUGGGAGGCCAAGUGCUACGAUUAUAGGUGUGAGCUACCGUGCCCAGCCGUCAACUGUGAAUAUGUAAUAUGAGGAAAAUAAUACCAAUCAUAAAUCCAAAUCAAUUCCUCCAGCACAUACGUACAUAUAUAUAUACUUUUUUUU
rnacentral:lncRNA from 1 species